CCGUACCCAUGCCCAUUACCUCUAUGGCGCCUCUGUUUCUGUUUCCUCUGUUUGGUAUCUCUUCUGCUGACACCGUUGCUCAUUCUUACAUGGAUGAUGUUAUUGCCCUCGUUCUUGGUAGCUUUAUUCUUGCUCUUGCCGUUGAGCACUACAACAUUCACAAAAGAUUGGCCUUAAAUGUAAGUUCCCGUAAUGCAUCAUCAUCAUCAUGUCAUUAAUUGUUACGAUUUCUUUUUCAGAAAAAUUAUCAGUGACAAAAGAUGAAUUAAUUAUGUAUGGACAAUCCUAUACCAUAUAAUAUAUAUUAAUAACUACAGAUAACUAUUCUAUUCUGUGGAGAGCCAAUGAAUCCGCCCUUGCUGCUUCUUGGGAUAUGUGGCACGACAGCA
rnacentral:lncRNA from 1 species